rnacentral:rRNA from 1 species
GAUGAACGCUGGCGGCGUGCUUAACACAUGCAAGUCGAACGAAGCAUUUGAGUGGAAGCUUUCGGGUGGAAACUUAAGUGACUUAGUGGCGGACGGGUGAGUAACGCGUGGGUAACCUGCCUUGUACAGGGGGAUAACAGUUAGAAAUGACUGCUAAUACCGCAUAACCCUUUAGUGCCGCAUGGCACGGACGGAAAAGAUUUAUCGGUACAACAUGGACCCGCGGCUGAUUAGCUAGUUGGUGAGGUAACGGCCCACCCAGGCGACGAUCAGUAGCCGAUUUGAGAGAGUGAGCGGCCACAUUGGGACUGAGACACGGCCCAAACGCCUACGGGAGGCAGCAGUGGGGAAUAUUGCACAAUGGGGGAAACCCUGAUGCAGCGACGCCGCGUGAAGGAAGAAGUAUUUCGGUAUGUAAACUUCUAUCAGCAAGGAAGAUAAUGACGGUACUUGACUAAGAAGCCCCGGCUAACUACGUGCCAGCAGCCGCAGUAAAAC